rnacentral:lncRNA from 1 species
UUUUAGUAAUAGAAAGUCAUUUCUAUUUCUUUUGAGGAGGUAGGAUGGAUUAAAUUUGGAAGUAAUUUGGAUUUUAGAGUUGAAAUUGGAUUUUCUUUGUAUUUUUUAUUCCCGAUAUUUUAGGCGGUGGUAUUGUUGGAUUUUGAAGUUUUUGUUGGAGUUUCUUGCUGGUUAGAGCAGUUAAGAGGUGUUCUUGGAGCUUUAUUUAUUCCGUUGUUGAAUUC